AAACGUGAAACAAAUCCUUUUUUGAAAUUUUCCCGCUCUGUCGUGCCGGAGCUCAUCGCCGGCAGCGACGGAGCUUCAAAACAAAAAUUAGAACCAUCAAUCCCUCCGUCUCAACCUUCUAAACUCGAAACCACGAACCAAAGUUCCUAAAUCCUAAGUACAAGGUUGAAUCGAAGCCAGAAACAACAAGAACUGUAAAUCUAAAAACAAAAAUUAAAUGGUGGUGGGAGGGAAUCAAAGCCUAAAACCAGAGGGCUUUGAUUCCUUAUAACUUGCACUACAUGGUGGUAAGUGAAACAUGGAUAACCGAGGGUUUCAGCAAACUACCUCGCCGAAGAAGGUGACCAGAGCAACGACAAUGGCAACAAAAAUGUUCAGGUUAGAUCUUUCUCUUUGUUACUUCUCUUAGUGUGUUUUGAUUCUUCUUCUGUUAUGAGGGUGAGUCAGAAAAAUCAGAGGUUUAGUUGAGUGAUUGAGAGGAUUCAGGAUGGGUCGAGACUUAGGGUUUUCUGGAUAUUAGUGGGCUCGAGACUUAGUUUUUUUUGUAUGCUGAAAACUGUAGCUUUUUUGGUUUAUGGAUAUCGGGGCUACUAGAGUUUUUAGUUGUUCUUCUUUUUAUAGUGAAAAAGUUAGGAUUUUCUGCAUCAGUGGACAAAGGUAAAUUGAUAGUGGACUUGGAAAUUUUUGUCGUGUUGCAGAGCAUGUCUCCUUAAUUGUGUGUUUUGUUUCUGAUAAACUGAAUCGUACCAUGUACUUAAGGCAAAUUGAUAGUGGACUUGGAAAUUUUUGUUGUGUUGCAGAGCAUGUCUCCUUAAUUGUGUGUUUUGUUUCUGAUAAAGUGAAUUGUACCAUGUAGUUUCCUUGUGAAAAUGUGUUUUGUCUGUUUUACCAGUGUGCUCUUUUUACUGCAGUGAAAAAGUGAAUGAGUGAAAUGUGGUUUGUUGUGUUAAUUGUUAUGGUUUGCAUUUUUGUUGUGAGUUGUGAUGUUUUAAUGAGAUGUUGCUCAUUGUUGUUAUGCAUUGUAGGAUAUUACAUUGAUAACUGGUGUGGUUUUGUGGAUUGCCUUGAUUGGCUUGGCAUGGCAUGUUGUGUGGUUUGCUCAUGAACUGCUUGAACUAAAUUGGGUGUUUGCAGGACUGAUGUAGCUUUGUUGUGCCAGUCUUCGAAUGUCGGGUUUGGAAUUGGUGUGAACUGCAAGAUAGUUGAUGCCUUCUUGAUGACCUGCUGCAGGUUGGACUUAUUGCUGAAGCUGCAGUGCAAGGUGUUUAGGAUGUUAUGGUUAUUGAUGCAGGUUGAGUUGCAUUGUUGCAAUCAGGAGAUGUUGCUCUUGAUGCAACCCUGUUAUGUGAUGUGUGAAUUUUUGUUGCAACUUGUUUUGUAUUGUAGGUUUUGAUGUGAUGCUCAUGGUGUUGAAUAUGGAGGUCUGAUGAUGCAUUGGUAUAGGCCUACUGCAUGUGGCUUAUGGUUGUUAUCAUAUUGUUGCUGAAAGUUGGAAUUGUUUGUUGCAGCUUUGCUCAUAGACCCAUCUCAUGGUGCAUUGGCCUUGCUUGUUGCAACUUUGAUGAUGGAAUGAUAUUGUUUUGAUGGGCUGCAUUGACAUUGCUUAUGGUCCAUAGUGUGAUGGAAUGAGCCUGUUGGAGAUUGGACUUGCAUUGUUGUUUGUAACAUGUAGUAGAACUAAGGCCUUCGGUGCACAUGAUCAUGUAAAUUCCAUCAAACACCUUCAUUAAUUUAAUGCACCUUUCAUGGAUGAAUGUUA